UCAUCAUUUAAAAUUUAUUUAAAGUUAAUUAAAGGGGUUAUUAAGGAAAACUAAGGCAAAUUUAUACAUAUAAGGAGGGUAAACCAAAUGCUUAAAAAAAUCUAUUUUUUUUUUUAAGAAAAAUUAGGUUUUAAAUACUAUUUAAGCGAUCCUAAGGUAAACCUUAUUAGUUAAUUACUUCCCGAAGUAAAACAUUUCAGUAGGGAAAGGAAAGGAAAUCAACCGAGACUCCGAGAGUAACGGCGAGUGAAAUCGGACUAGCCUGAGACAAUAAUAUAACUUAUUAAUAUAAAUUGAAAAAAUAAAACUAGAUAAAUUCUAUCGUUUUACUAAAAAAGGUCAAAAACAUUAAGUCCUGUAGGUUUAUAUUAUAUUUUUAUAUUAUAGUAUAUUAUAAUUGACAAGGCUCUGCUUAUAGGUAGCAACCUAGAAAUGUAUUAUAAGUCUUUAAAUAAAGAUUAGUUGAUUACAAGAGUUUUAAAAUAAAAAUUAUUUAAUCUUUAUGUUUAUAUUACCUAGAGUCGCUAAGACAGUAUAAAUAUAAAAGAAGUAGUUUUUAAAGUUUUAAAGCUUUAUCUACAACUCUUUAUUUAUUUAAAAAGUACGAUGAGAGAAAACUUGUCGGAAUAAAGGGGAACCAUCCUCUAAGGCUAAGUAUUAUAAAUUUAGCGAUAGUGAAAAAGUACUGUGAAGGAAAAGUUUGAAAAGCAAGUAGUAUACAACAAAAUAAGUUUAUAUUUAUUAAUUUAAUUAUAAAUGCAUUGGUGAAAUAGAUCAUGAAUUAGUAACUCUAUAAGCAGUCGGAAUUCUAAAAUUUAGAAUAACGGCGUACCUUUUGCAUAAUGGGUCAGCAACUUAAUAAUAGUAGCAAGGUUAAAAGCCUUAGCGAAAGCGACUAGAUUAGCGAAAGCGACCUUGUAAUACAGUCUGAGCUAACGUGGGAAAGUUACUAUUAUUAGACCCGAAGCCAGGUGAUCUUACUUAGACCAGAUUAUAAUGGAUCGAACGGGUGAAUGUUGCAUAAUUCUCCGAAGAGUUUAAGUAAGCGGUGAAAUGCCAAUCUGACCUGGUGCUAGCUGGUUUUCUACGAAACAUAUUAAAGUAUGACAUCUACCUACCCUAUUAAUAGUAUUAGGAAAGUUUUCUUAUUUUUUUAAGAAGACUUAAAGAUUUAUGGAGGUACAGCAAAUAGUUUCCCAACAAAUGAAUUUAUUUGACUUCUUGGUUUAUUUAAUCAAGAGCAAUAUUCAAGCGUUCAGGUUGCGGGGACCUAGAAAAUCUUACCUUUGGAAGCGAAUCUCGGAAUUACAUAAAUUGAUGGUAGAUAUUCAGACUACUCAAGCUAAGUUGGGUAGUCAAGACGGAAACAGCCGAGAACACUGAUCAAGGUCCCAAAUGAUUGUUAAGUGAAAUUAAGGACGUAAGAAUAUCGUAUACAGCUGUGAAGUGAGCCUGGCAGUCGCUACUUAUAAUGAACGUUUGUAACAACGCAUCAGCAGUCUUUGAUAUAUUAAUAUAUUAAAUAUAGAUACUGGCGCCGAAAAUUUAACGGGUCUUAAACAAUCAACCGAUAUCGUGUUGGUUAACUUUAAUAGUUAUAAUUAUAUUGAAGUUAGCUUAGGUAGUAGAACAUUCAGUCAAACUAAUUAUAAUACAGUGUUUCAUUGUACUUUAGGUUACUGAAGAGAUAAUGCUGACAUGAGUAACGUAAAAAGAAGUUAAAAUACUUCUCGCCGAAUACGAAAGGGUUUCAAAUUUGAAAGGUUAAUCCACUUUGAUUUAAUGCGGCCUCUAAGGAAAAUAGCUAAAGCUAUAACUGAUGAGUAUAAAACAGAAAGUCUUUUAAUUAAAAUCUUCUGCUAAUAUUAAAAAAAGUAGUUGAUUAAGAUUGGUUAGACCAGGAAAAUAAUGUUUUAUUGUUGAUAUAAAUAUAACUAAUGUCAACAGCUACCGUACCCUAAACCGACACAGGUUCGUAGGUAGAGUAUACUAAGGCGCAGAGCUAAAAGUUGUUAAGGAACUCGGCAAGAUCACCUGCAUAAAUUUUGAUAGCCAUGCAUAAGUUUGACGAUAAGAGGUACCGCAUAAAUUUUAUUCUAUGCAAUAAAUAUUAAAGCGGUGGCACAGAAUCGGAGGCCCCGACUGUUUACUAAAAACACAUCACAGUGCAAUCAUUAAUGUGAUAGUAUACUGUGUGAAAUUUGCCCGAUGCCAUUAAUAUAAGAAAGGUCAUUGAUUUUUCUUGUUAAAGUUUUAAAUUUUAACAACAUAAUCUAUUAAAGUGACUAAUCGAAAAUCUGGUUAAUAGCGGUCUUAACUAUGAGGAUCCUAAGGUAGCAAAAUCAGUUGGCCAUUAAAUGUGGUCCGGUAUCAAUAAUGUAACGAUGGCCUCACUGUCUCUACAACUUGCUCAGUGAAAUUGAAUUACGCGUGCAGAUGCGCGUUGCCUCCAGGGGGACGGGAAGACCCUAUGCAGCUUUACUGUAGUUAGUUAUCAUGCGAAUCUAGAACAAUUCUAAUUAAGAGAGAAUAGGGAUGUUGAAUUUUUAUUAAAUCUUCUGGUUUAGGAUAAAUUGUGAAACAAAUAUUGGGAACCUUAAGGUUAGAAUUGGGUUUGUGUUUACCUUUUUAAAUAGAGGGAGAGUUGACUAAUUGGCAGUUUGACUGGGGCGGUCGUCUUUAAUAGAGUAGCAAAGUACAACCAAAUAUUUAUUAAAUUUUAUACUUCACUUUUGCCUUUGGUAAUUAGUGAAGCUAGCAAAUAAAUUAACUUGUUGUUUUUAACAACGACUAGUUAUAAAAUAAUUUUAAAUUUUCAUAAGGUAUAGCUAGAAAUUGAAUGGAGAUCAAUCAACCAGUGAAGGGUUGCGCAGAGUUUAAUGGCGGUAAGCAUGCUUAACUGAAAGACCCAAAAGUCGCACAGAUACGUAAGUAGGGCAUAGUGACCCCUCGCUAUAGUAUGGAAUAGACGAGGAUCAAUUGAUAAAAGUUACGCUAGGGAUAACAGGCUGAUCGCCGACGAGAGUACACAUUGUCUCGGCGGUUUGGCACCUCGAUGUCGACUCAUCCUAUCCUCCGGGGGAAGAAGCUUGGAAGGGUUCGGCUGUUCGCCGAUUAAAAGGGUACGUGAGUUGGGUUUAAUACGACGUGAGUCAGUAUGGUCCCUAUCUUCUGGAGGGAUAAUUAGUAAAAAGGGGCAGACCUUCUAGUACGAAAGGACCAAUAGGCUGUGUUUCUCUAGUGUACCAAUUGUUUUAAUUAUUAAAGUAGUGCUUCGCCCAACUAUUUUUGUUGUAAAUUAAAUAGUAGUAGUUGAAAGGCUAUUAUUACUUGAACAAGUAAAAAAAUAGUAAAUUGUAUAUUACAAUAGAAGCAACCACUGCUAAAGCAAAAUUAAAAAUGCUUUAGCAGUUGAUAAGAAAUGCAUAGUUGGGUAGCCACAAACAUAAUAGAUAAGUGCUGAAUGUCUAUCAAGCAAGAAUCUAACCCCUAGAUACUAAAAGGUUUAGUUCUAAACCAAAAUUGAGAAAUAGAACAUUUCUAGAUAGGCUGCGAAUGAAAGUACUGUAAGGUAUUUAGUUUAGUAGUACUAAUUUAU
rnacentral:rRNA from 1 species